rnacentral:lncRNA from 1 species
AUGUCUGCUAGUUCUGGUGGCUAUUACUCUGUGUCUGCUGGUUAUGGUGGUUCUGCUGGUUGUGGUGGCUAUGGUUCUGUGACUGCUGGUUCUGGUGGCUAUGGCUCUGUUUCCGCUGGUUCUGCUGGUUCUGCUGGUUAUGGUGGCUAUGACUUUGUGUCUUCUGGUUCUGCUGGUUCUACUGGUUCUGGUAGCUAUGGCUCUGUUUCUGCUGGUUCUGGUGGCUUUGACUCUGUGUCUGCUGGUUCUGCUGGUCCUGGUGGCUAUGGCUCUGUUUCCGCUGGUUCUGCUGGUUCUGGUGGCUAUGACUCUGUGUCUUCUGGUUCUGGUGGCUAUGGCUCGGUGUCUGCUGGUUAUGGUGGUUCUGCUGGUUGUGGUGGCUAUGGUUCUGUGACUGCUGGUUCUGGUGGCUAUGGCUCUGUUUCAGCUGGUUCUGGUAGUUCUGCUGGUUCUGGUGGCUAUGACUUUGUGUCCUCUGGUUCUGCUGGUUCUACUGGUUCUGGUAGCUAUGGCUCUGUUUCUGCUGGUUCUGGUGGCUAUGACUCUGUGUCUGCUGGUUCUGGUGGCUAUGACUCAGUGUCUGCUGGUUCUGCUGGUUCUGGUGGCUAUGGCUCUGUUUCUGCUGGUUCUGGUGGCUAUGGUUCUGUUUCCGCUGGUUCUGGUGGUUCUGGUGGCUAUGGCUCUGUUUCUGCUGGUUCUGGUGGCUAUGGAUCUGUUUCCGCUGGUUCUGCUGGUUCUGCUGGUUCUGGUGGCUAUGGCUCUGUUUCCGCUGGUUCUGGUGGUUCUACUGGUUCUGCUGGUUCUGGUGACUAUGACUCUAUGUCUGCUAGUUCUGGUGGCUAUGAAUCUGUGACUGCUGGUUCUGGUGGCUAUGGCUCUGUUUCAGCUGGUUCUGCUGGUUCUGGUGGCUAUGACUCUGUGUCUGCUGGUUCUGGUGGUUCUGCUGGUUAUGGUGGCUAUGGUUCUGUGACUGCUGGUUCUGAUGGCUAUGGCUCUGUUUCCGCUGGUUCUGGUGGUUCUGCUGGUUAUGGUGGCUAUGGCUCUGUUUCCGCUGGUUCUGCUGGUUCUGCUGGUUCUGGUGGCUAUGACUCUAUGUCUGCUGGUUAUGGUGGCUAUGACUUUGUGUCUUCUGGUUCUGCUGGUUCUACUGGUUCUGGUAGCUAUGGCUCUGUUUCUGCUGGUUCUGGUGGCUUUGACUCUGUGUCUGCUGGUUCUGCUGGUCCUGGUGGCUAUGGCUCUGUUUCCGCUGGUUCUGCUGGUUCUGGUGGCUAUGACUCUGUGUCUUCUGGUUCUGGUGGCUAUGGCUCGGUGUCUGCUGGUUAUGGUGGUUCUGCUGGUUGUGGUGGCUAUGGUUCUGUGACUGCUGGUUCUGGUGGCUAUGGCUCUGUUUCAGCUGGUUCUGGUAGUUCUGCUGGUUCUGGUGGCUAUGACUUUGUGUCCUCUGGUUCUGCUGGUUCUACCGGUUCUGGUAGCUAUGGCUCUGUUUCUGCUGGUUCUGGUGGCUAUGACUCUGUGUCUGCUGGUUCUGGUGGCUAUGACUCAGUGUCUGCUGGUUCUGCUGGUUCUGGUGGCUAUGACUCUGUGUCUGCUGGUUCUGGUGGCUAUGGCCCUGUUUCCGCUGGUUCUGGUAGUUCUGCUGGUUCUGGCUAUGGCUCUGUUUCCGCUGGUUCUGCUGGUUCUGGUGGCUAUGACUUUGUGUGUUCUGGUUCUGCUGGUUCUACUGGUUCUGGU